UCUAGAACCACAGGAAACAUUCCACUCCAAAUAGGCCUUUCAAUAUUCGAUCUCUGUAAGUUCUGUGUGUUUGGAAUGGCUGUAUCUAUUCAGCAUUCAGAGUAAAUCCAAAGAAACACAAUCGAAUCAAUGAAAACCACACACAAACCACACAAGCUACAUCCAACCAUGGCUGGUAGAAUCUCAGAUGGUGCUGCAGCAACAACCUGGC